rnacentral:rRNA from 1 species
UACGUAGGGGGCAAGCGUUGUCCGGAUUUAUUGGGCGUAAAGAGCGUGUAGGCGGCCAGGUAGGUCUGCUGUGAAAACUCGAGGCUUAACCUCGAGCUGUCGGCGGAAACCAUCUGGCUAGAGUCCGGAAGAGGAGAAUGGAAUUCCCGGUGUAGCGGUGAAAUGCGCAGAUAUCGGGAAGAACACCCGUGGCGAAGGCGGCUCUCGUGGUACGUGACUGACGCU